GGGGCCAUAGCUCAGCUGGGAGAGCGCUACCGUGGCACGGUAGAGGUCGACGGUUCGAUCCCGUCUGGCUCCACCA
rnacentral:tRNA from 1 species